rnacentral:rRNA from 1 species
UACGUAGGGCGCAAGCGUUGUCCGGAAUUAUUGGGCGUAAAGAGCUCGUAGGCGGCUUGUCGCGUCGGAUGUGAAAGCUCGGGGCUUAACCCCGGGUCUGCAUUCGAUACGGGCAGGCUAGAGUGUGGUAGGGGAGAUCGGAAUUCCUGGUGUAGCGGUGAAAUGCGCAGAUAUCAGGAGGAACACCGGUGGCGAAGGCGGAUCUCUGGGCCAUUACUGACGCUGAGGAGCGAAAGCGUGGGGAGCAAACAGG